GAAAAAGUACUUAUAUAAAUUCCAUUUCAGUUUAAUUGGCAUAAGUGAAGAAAAAGAAAACAUGUUGAUGACUCUUAAGUCUCCACACAUUCGAAUUUUCAUUAUUUUCAUUCUCUUCACAAUGGCAUCAACAGAAGGCUUUGAGGUGCUCUGUGAGCGAGGUAGUCAAAAUUACCAUGGGUUUUGCAUUUGGUCAUCGACUUGUGAUUAUCAAUGUCAGAAACUUGAUAAAGCCUUGUUUGGAAAAUGUAAGGACCAUCACUGGGGUUUUGGCAAAUGUGUAUGCUAUUUUUAUCUUUGUUGAAUUCCUACAACCUAGGAGAUGCAUGAUUUGAGCGUAUUAAUUAUUGUGUUUUGUACUAGUAACAUAUAUUUUUUCACUGUUGAAAAAUAAGUUCAAGAUUAAUGAUCGUAUAAAAAAUUUGGUGUGUA